CUCCAUGUUGGUCAGGCUGGUCUCUAACUCCCGACCCCAGGUGAUCCGCCUGCCUCGGCCUCCCUCCCAAAGUGCUGGGAUUACAGGCGUGAGCCACCGAGCCUGGCCGGACACUUCGUUUUAAUUGGUAGUUUUGUUUGUUUAACUGGGUGAUGGGUACAUGGAUAUUCAUUAUAUUGUAUGGCACCAACAUUUAUAUUGCUAUGUUAGUUCUCACUUCACUUGGACAAAACUCUUGGGCAUGAACAGGUGUUUGGAAAACACUGCUCCAAAGCAAAGGAUUCAGGACUAGAGAAGACCCAAGUUCAAGCCUCAAUUCUACUUCUUACUAAUUGCUUAGCUUUAGGCAAUUGAAAUAAUUAACUUAUCUGGGCUUUAUUUAUUUCAUCUGUAAAAAUUCCACAAACAGUGAAGUGGCUCACACCUGUAAUCCUAGCACUUUGGGAGGCCAAGGCGGGUGGAUCACCUGAGGUCAGGAGUUGAAGACCAGCAUGGCCAACGUGGUGAAACCCCAUCUCUACUAAAAAUACAAAAAAUUAGCCGGGAGUGGUGGCGGGUGCCCGUAAUCCCAGCUACUCAGGAGGCUGAGGCAGAAGAAUCACUUGAACCCGGGAAGCAGAGGUUGCAGUGAGCCGAGAUCGCGC
rnacentral:lncRNA from 1 species